rnacentral:SRP_RNA from 2 species
GCCAGGCGUGGUGGUGCAUGCCUGUAAUCCCAGCUACUCAGGAGGCUGAGGCAGGAGAAUUGCUUGAACCCAGGAGGCGGAGGUUGCAGUGAGCUGAGAUCACACCACUGCACUCCAGCCUGGGUGACAGAGCAAUACUCUGUCUAAA